ACGGGUUUGCCUCAUGCGACGACGGGUAGCCGGCCUGAGAGGGCGACCGGCCACACUGGGACUGAGACACGGCCCAGACUCCUACGGGAGGCAGCAGUGGGGAAUAUUGCACAAUGGGCGAAAGCCUGAUGCAGCGACGCCGCGUGAGGGAUGAAGGCCUUCGGGUUGUAAACCUCUUUCAGCAGGGAAGAAGCGCAAGUGACGGUACCUGCAGAAGAAGCGCCGGCUAACUACGUGCCAGCAGCCGCGGUAAUACGUAGGGCGCAAGCGUUGUCCGGAAUUAUUGGGCGUAAAGAGCUCGUAGGCGGUUUGUCGCGUCUGGUGUGAAAACUCGAGGCUCAACCUCGAGCUUGCAUCGGGUACGGGCAGACUAGAGUGCGGUAGGGGAGACUGGAAUUCCUGGUGUAGCGGUGGAAUGCGCAGAUAUCAGGAGGAACACCGAUGGCGAAGGCAGGUCUCUGGGCCGCAACUGACGCUGAG
rnacentral:rRNA from 1 species